CCCUAAUCGCGUGUUCACAUGUGUUGAGAAGAGAGAGAGAGAGAGAGAGAGAACGAAGAGAGCCGAGUGAUGUGGGUAGAAGAAGAAGAAGAAGAAGAAGAAGAAGGGAUUUCGAAUCACAAACAAAUCCUUCUUCCAUAAAUAAUCUUUCUCCUCCACUGUUAUUCAAGUCGACAUGAGUGCAUCAUUGUCGAUUUCGAGCAAAUUCAUCAGAGAGAGAGAGAGAGAGGAAGAAGGGAGAAAAGAAGAGGAGGGGGACGGGAAGCUCUCAGGGAAAUCAUCAGCCCGGGCAGUCCAACCCGAAGUUGUUGGUGGCCGUCCAGCAGGUGUGGAGUUUUCUGCAGAGAUUCAUGACUUUGUAGUUGAGGAUAAAGCCAAGUUGUACCCUUCUGUUAAAGAUGAUGUAUCCAUUACUAUAAUAGAAGCAAGCUCAUGCGAGUAAGGCAUAUACAUUUCUGUAAUUGAAGAAUCCUAAUAUUGAUGACUGGAUACUUGAGUGAUGCAACUAUGGCUGAGGAUGCCUUAUCUACUUGCAUGACUAUAAUGAUUGGGAGCUCAUAUUUCCUUUAACCUUCUUUGCGGGGACAGGUGGGUUCCCUUUGUGUUUGUGGUCAUACUGAUUGAUGUCUUCACUUACCAAUCUCAUUGACGGCUUUUGCAGAAGCAGGAUAUAGGACUCUACAUAUUGGCUGGUAAAAACUUUGUUUUCUUCAUUGUUGCAUUGAGUUGCUGUAGAUGAUAGCAUGAUAUAAUUGUUUGUGGAUAGAGUGUUUGGUUGAGGAUGAAUAUGAGUUCUAAGUUCUAACUAUAAGUACUCUUGCUGCAUGUUACCAAAUUUCAAUAAAUCGAUAGGUUACACCUUAAACUAACGCUGGUAAGCAUACUGACAUUUUUAACUAUCAGCUUUAUGAAUAUUUAUCGUUAUUGAUUUUUUGCAGUAAUUUAAAAAUAAAAAAAAAAAAACUUUUGUUGGUUUAAUGAGAUGCCUUCAUGGCAGUAUUUGAAUGUAUUUCUAUCCGUGAGAACUUACAAAUUGAUAUCAUACAUUUUGUAAUAACUGUUUUGAUAUCCAAGAUGAAAUGGUUUUCUUCUCUUGCUUAUCUUAAUUGUCAUCUUCCUUAAUAUUUGAAAUGAAUUUUGUUAAAAAAAAAAAAAAGUUGAAAAGGAAAAGAUAAAGUCUUUCAUACACAAACUGUUUUUUGCUUCUCCAAUCAGGCUUCUAAACAAGUGUAGGCAGUGAAAAACCCAGAAAAGGACUGGAAAACUGAACAAGAGAUCAUCUAUUUUUAGCAUAAAUUUUUCUGAUUGCUUCUUUGGUUCUUUUUCAUUUUUUUUUUUAACAAUUGAAACCUAGAACUUUUUUUUUUUUUGGUUGCCAAAACAAACUCUCUUUGUUUGUUAAAUUUGUUACUGUAAGAAAAUAGAAAUGUGUUUUUUGCUUAAAGUCUCAAAUUUGCUAUUGCUCGGUUUAUUCUUGAGGUAUAGUUGAUUCAUUUUUUUGUUACCAAAACAAAAACUCUUUUUUCUUUUGAAGUAGGUGACUUAACGAUUUAUUUCAGGAUUUCAUUGUUGUUUUGUUUGGCUUUUGUAGAUUUCAUGCGAAGGAGUGUAGAUCUCACUCCUUUUGUUGUUGUUCCUUUUUUUGCUGCUUUGCACCAUCUCAAUCACUUAUUCUUAUUCAAGUAUGCGCUUUUUCCUAUUCUCUGGUUGAUUUUGAUAUAGAACGUGAAUUAACUGUUUUGCACGGCUAUAACUGAAGUAGCCAGUUUUGAACCAGCUCCAACAUUUUGUGCAGCUGCAGCUGGAACAAUUACCCCGUUUGUACAACUACAAUUGGAGCUGUCACUUUUUUGAACCUACUCCAGCAGCAAAUUUUACUAGACUAACUUAGAAGUUAGAACUACACUAACUAGCUCUUUGGGUAUACUCCACCUGCUACUUUUUGUAAAGGAGCAACUAAUCUUUUUGUACAACUAGCAUUUUUGAACCAGCUUCAAUAGCAAAUAAAGUCUAAAUUGAAAUUUCGCUAUUUCAAUAGAAUGCAGUAAUUUCCCUUUUGUAUUUCAUA